AUCGCUUCUCGGCCUUUUGGCUAAGAUCAAGUGUAGUAUCUGUUCUUACUAUACUAUCUGAAAAGCUCCCUAUCUGGGGGCCAUAUAUUAAAUGAAUUUUUAGAACAGGGAGAUGGAAGAAGAGCUUGUUCUGUCCGCUCCAUGCAUUGACCUAGUAUUAUAGUACGUCCAGGACAGGUGCACAAAAA
rnacentral:snRNA from 1 species